AUAUUGCACAAUGGGGGAAACCCUGAUGCAGCGACGCCGCGUGAGUGAAGAAGUAUUUCGGUAUGUAAAGCUCUAUCAGCAGGGAAGAAAAGAAGAGAAUUGACGGUACCUGAUGAAUAAGCUCCGGCUAACUACGUGCCAGCAGCCGCGGUAAUACGUAGGGGGCAAGCGUUAUCCGGAUUUACUGGGUGUAAAGGGAGCGUAGACGGCGGUGCAAGUCUGGAGUGAAAGGCGGGGGCCCAACCCCCGGACUGCUCUGGAAACUGUAUGGCUGGAGUGCAGGAGAGGUAAGUGGAAUUCCUAGUGUAGCGGUGAAAUGCGUAGAUAUUAGGAGGAACACCAGUGGCGAAGGCGGCUUACUGGACUGUAACUGACGUUGAGGCUCGAAAGCGUGGGGAGCAA
rnacentral:rRNA from 1 species